rnacentral:rRNA from 1 species
GAUGAACGCUGGCGGCGUGCCUAAUACAUGCAAGUCGAGCGAACGGACGAGAAGCUUGCUUCUCUGAUGUUAGCGGCGGACGGGUGAGUAACACGUGGAUAACCUACCUAUAAGACUGGGAUAACUUCGGGAAACCGUAGCUAAUACCGGAUAAUAUUUUGAACCGCAUGGUUCAAAAGUGAAAGACGGUCUUGCUGUCACUUAUAGAUGGAUCCGCGCUGCAUUAGCUAGUUGGUAAGGUAACGGCUUACCAAGGCAACGAUGCAUAGCCGACCUGAGAGGGUGAUAGGCCACACUAGAACUGAGACACGGUCAAGACUCCUACGGGAGGCAGCAGAAGGGAAUCUUCCGCAAUGGGCGAAAGCCUGACGGAGCAACGCCGCGUGAGUGAUGAAGGUCUUCGGAUCGUAAAACUCUGUUAUUAGGGAAGAACAUAUGUGUAAGUAACUGUGCACAUCUUGACGGUACCUAAUCAGAAAGCCACGGCUAACUACGUG